rnacentral:lncRNA from 1 species
CACAAGAACCUCCCACGGUUAGUCUGGCUGCAAAGGGCUCUAACCCGUGAUUUGUACCACUGAGGAUAUUUUAAUUCAGCACUGUGGUCGGUGCAAGCUGGAUGCAGAUUGGUAUCGACCAGCCAUCGCAGGGAUUCGAACCCAGUUCACCUCAUUGGAAGGCGAACUCUCUAUCACCUGAGCCAUCGUGACUCUAUGUAUAAGGGUCUGUCACAAGAGAAGUCAAAUCUGUGGAAAAGUUUGAUACGUUGCCAACUUAAAUAAAGAAUGUAAUAAGAAGUGAUCAGAAAAAAUUGUAGUAUUUAAUGCGAAAUUAAUGGAUUUGAGGUGAAAGUAGACAUCUUGGAUAACAUCUUCCUCAACAUUGGUGACCGCACGGGAUAUGAUCACGCUUACUUCGAUGGACGGUUAGCAUUGAACAGUUGACUUGCUAUUUGCGACUGCGUCAUCGGCUUCAUCACGCUGUUGCUUAUUGGUCUCAUUUACACACAACGGAAAUCUACACACCCUCGACUGCUUACAGCAAUACAGAAGUGAGCAUUCGCAAUCAAGAACUUAAUACAGCUCUCACGACAAACGCACUAAGCUUGAACUUAAUACAGCUCUCCCCAUAAGUACUAAAAAUUCUGUGAACUUAACACAGCUCUCCCGGUCUUUAGCAAAUACGGCAACUAGUGGUAUGUGUUCAUCGAAUUGUAUCCCUGAAAUAAUUCUGGUGGGGGACUAUUGUGGCUUAACUACCACUUCAAUUAUUCCAUAUCAAUACACCAGUAUGUAAGACGUGUUAACUCGAUUCUAUCUAGGGUACCUUUUGAUAGAUUAAGUUGCCAUCGUCGAUAACAUUAUCCCCCGCAGAUUAAUGCAUGAAAACAGUAAUUUUUACCUCUGCAAUCAGGAAAUGACUUAAUGUGAUUUGAUUAUUAUUCAUGUCCAUCCCUGGUAAAGGAAUGCCCAAGUCAGGUUCAGGAUAUCAUAUUGCUUUAACAGCUCCACUAGUCCACCUUACUUCACAAGCAGUUUGGCUGAGACACCCAUACAAUUCAUGAUAUUAGCAGAAGAAGCAGGCUCAAAGUCAAGGUGAAAGGUUCUUUCCCCUGUUGACAAAGUUCAAACAUUUAAUGUGGCCGCAUCAUAACCUGACCAGGCCAUUGCAGUUUGGGAAAGUCAUCAUAUUGGUUUCAUGUUCGCUAAAACUUUAGUUUGUCUGGCUCGGCCCAGGCUUAGAUUUCAUUGAGACCAAGACAAGGGAGAUGAGCCUGUAGGAUUCAGGCAAUCUUAGAUGUCUCUUUAGUUUACCAAUAAGGGCGACCUCGUUAUUUAAUUUUCUAUUAUUUUUGGAAAAGUUCCCGUUUUCAGACAUUUAUUGAAGAACUCCAGUAGCCGAUGACGAUUGAUCCAGAAGAUAUCUACGAGAAUGUCCGCCCGGCGCCUUACUUUGAUUUUAGAGUUAAUCCAUUGUGAAUGAAGGACCAUUAUUUGCCAAGUUGCCUCACUAGUACAUGUUCGAAAUCAACCUCCGGAAAAUGAUGUGACGUAAUAUUUUCAACAGUGCCCACUAAACCUAUUAGUAGUAGAAUCAUCCUGCUUAGUUUGGACUCUGUCUCAAGCACUGUCAUUUGGUAUAGAGAAGAUUAGUCGAUUGCAAACCAUGUUUAAAGACAAGUUCUGAAGCAUACUUUUAGGAAAUCUUCUUUUACUGUCUUAUGCUCUAUAUGUUAGUAAUACGAUGAACACAAAAAAUAAGCUGCACCAAUGUAUAAUAGUAUUCUUAUUAUUGACAAGAAAAAGCUCAACGUUAAAUCAACAUACCUCUUUAGGUCAAGCUUCCUGAUUACUAUAACAGAUCUUAUACUUGUAUUUUUUUUACUAUGAAUAUGCUAAGCCAGUGAUGUAAUUAAAAAUUUAUUUUGUGUGUGUUUCAUUUUUACAACAGAAGAAUAACGUUUUAGCAGAAUAGUAAAGUAAUUGGGUUACUUUUAGAUAUAUUUAUUAAAGUUAGACUCAGCUGUAAAA